CUGCCGGAGAAGGCGCCUGAGAGAUAGCGACUAUAUCCACGGGUAGCAGCAGGCGCGAAACUUUCCCACUCGAGACUUUCGGAGGAGGUAAUGACCAGUUCCAUUGGUGCCUUUUGGUACUGUGGAUAGGGGUACGGUUUUCCACCGUACCGAAACCUAGCAGAGGGCCAGUCUGGUGCCAGCAGCUGCGGUAAUUCCAGCUCUGCGAGUUUGCUCCCAUAUUGUUGCAGUUAAAACGCCCGUAGUCUGAAUUGGCCAGCAAUGGUCGUACGUAUUUUUACGUUCACUGUGAACAAAUCAGGACGCUUAGAGUAUGGCCACAUGAAUGACUCAGCGCAGUAUGAAGUCUUUGUUUUCUUCCGAAAACAAGCUCAAUGAGAGCCAUCGGGGGUAGAUCUAUCUCAUGACGAGUGGUGGAAUACUUUGACUCAUGAGAGAGAAGCUGAGGCGAAGGCGUCUACCUAGAGGGUUUCUGUCGAUCAAGGGCGAGAGUAGGAGUAUCCAACAGGAUUAGAGACCCUGGUAGUUCCUACCUUAAACGAUGCCGACAGGAGUUUGUCAUUUGUUAAUGGCAGAAUCUUUGGAGAAAUCAUAGUUCUUGGGCUCUGGGGGAACUACGACCGCAAGGCUGAAACUUGAAGGAAUUGACGGAAGGGCACACCAGGGGUGGAGCCUGUGGCUUAAUUUGAAUCAACACGGGGAAACUUACCAGGACCAGAUGUUUUUUAUGACUGACAGGCUUCGGGUCUUUCAUGAUAUUGUUUUUGGUGGUGCAUGGCCGUUGGUGGUGCGUGGGUUGACCUGUCUAGCGUUGAUUCAGCUAACGAGCGAGAUUAUCGCCAAUUAUUUACUUUGCCGA
rnacentral:ncRNA from 2 species